UGAUAAAAUCCUCUAAAACCUUGUAUAUUCUUAUGUGGAGAUUUUCUUGAACUUCAACACUUUAUAUCUCCUAAUCCGACCGUCAAAACAAACUCAAAUUUUACAUAAGAUAUUGAUGUAUUCUUAUUAACUUCUACAACAAUUUUCAACCACAAAUUCAUUGAGGAUCUUGAAAUGACUUGAAAACCCUAACACUCACUUCAAACCCUUGUCUUUAUAUACCCAUGUACAAUUUUCUUUAUAUCUCACAAAAUAUAAGCUCAAAUGCCACGAAAUUUGUAUUUAUAGCUUUUUAACACAAAAAUUUAUAUUCUCCAAAAAUUUUGAGAC
rnacentral:lncRNA from 1 species